GACGAACGCUGGCGGCGUGCUUAACACAUGCAAGUCGAACGGAAAGGCCCUGCUUUUGUGGGCUGCUCGAGUGGCGAACGGGUGAGUAACACUUGAGUUCCCUGCCCCUCACUUUGGGAUAACUUCAGGAAACUGGGGCUAAUACCGCAUAGGAGCUCCUGCUGCAUGGUGGGGGCUGGAAAGUUUCGGCGGUUGGGGAUGGACUCGCCGCUUAUCAGCUUGUUGGUUGGGUAGUGGCUUACCAAGGCUUUGACGGGUAGCCGGCCUGGGAGGGUGACCGGCCACGUUGGGACUGAGAUGCGGCCCAGACUCCUACGGGACGCAGCGGUGGAGAAUAGUGCACAAUGGGCGGAAGCCUGAUGCAGCCACGCCGCGUGCGGGAUGACGGCCUUCGGGUUGUAUACCGCUUUCGCCUGUGACGAAGCGUGAGUGACGGUAAUGGGUAAAGAAGCACCGGCUAACUACGUG
rnacentral:rRNA from 1 species